CAGUCGCCACGGUAAUACAGAGGGUGCGAGCGUUAAUCGGAUUUACUAGGCGUAAAGCGUGCGUAGGCGGCUAAUUGAGUCGGAUGUGAAAUCCCCGAGCUUAACUUGGGAAUUGCAUUCGAUACUGGUUAGCUAGAGUGUGGGAGAGGAUGGUAGAAUUCCAGGUGUAGCGGUGAAAUGCGUAGAGAUCUGGAGGAAUACCGAUGGCGAAGGCAGCCAUCUGGCCUAACACUGACGCUGAGGUACGAAAGCAUGGGGAGCAAACAGGAUUAGAUACCCCGGUAGUCCCUGUCUCUUAUAC
rnacentral:rRNA from 1 species